rnacentral:rRNA from 1 species
CUACGGGAGGCAGCAGUGGGGAAUAUUGCACAAUGGGCGCAAGCCUGAUGCAGCCAUGCCGCGUGUGUGAAGAAGGCCUUCGGGUUGUAAAGCACUUUCAGUUGUGAGGAAGGUGGUGUCGUUAAUAGCGGCAUCAUUUGACGUUAGCAACAGAAGAAGCACCGGCUAACUCCGUGCCAGCAGCCGCGGUAAUACGGAGGGUGCGAGCGUUAAUCGGAAUUACUGGGCGUAAAGCGCAUGCAGGUGGUUUGUUAAGUCAGAUGUGAAAGCCCGGGGCUCAACCUCGGAACUGCAUUUGAAACUGGCAGACUAGAGUACUGUAGAGGGGGUAGAAUUUCAGGUGUAGCGGUGAAAUGCGUAGAGAUCUGAAGGAAUACCGGUGGCGAAGGCGGCCCCCUGGACAGAUACUGACACUCAGAUGCGAAAGCGUGGGGAGCAAACAGGAUUAGAUACCCUGGUAG